CUUCGCUGAGGAUACGAUGACGAGUCAGAAAUGGACGGAACUGGGCCCAGGAUUCUGUUUCAGGGACACGUUCUGUGUGUCUGUUCAGGUCCCGGUCCCUGGUCGCCUAUGCUUGAUGACAUUGAGGCAUUUGUCUGAGAAGG
ensembl:snoRNA SNORD15 Small nucleolar RNA SNORD15